GCUGGAAUAGCUCAGCUGGUAGAGCAACUGAUUUGUAAUCAGUAGGUCCCGGGUUCGACUCCUGGUUCCAGCA
rnacentral:tRNA from 1 species